rnacentral:tRNA from 1 species
GGGGAUGUGGCUCAGUGGUAGAGUCCUUGCCUGGCAUGCCUGAGGCCAUGGGUUCGACCCCCAUUACCA